rnacentral:rRNA from 1 species
GGUAAUGGCCUACCAAGGCGGCGACGGGUAGCCGGCCUGAAAGGUGGACGGCCACAUUGGGACUGAGAUACGGCCCAGACUCCUACGGGAGGCAGCAGUGGGGAAUAUUGCACAAUGGGCGCAAGCCUGAUGCAGCGACGCCGCGUGGGGGAUGACGGCCUUCGGGUUGUAAACUCCUUUCGCUAGGGACGAAGCUUUUUGUGACGGUACCUAGAUAAGAAGCACCGGCUAACUACGUGCCAGCAGCCGCGGUAAUACGUAGGGUGCGAGCGUUGUCCGGAAUUACUGGGCGUAAAGGGCUCGUAGGUGGUUUGUCGCGUCGUCUGUGAAAUUCCGGGGCUUAACUCCGGGCGUGCAGGCGAUACGGGCAUAACUUGAGUACUGUAGGGGUAACUGGAAUUCCUGGUGUAGCGGUGAAAUGCGCAGAUAUCAGGAGGAACACCGAUGGCGAAGGCAGGUUACUGGGCAGUUACUGACGCUGAGGAGCGAAAGCAUGGGUAGCGAACAGGAUUAGAUACCCUGGUAGUCCAUGCCGUAAACGGUGGGCGCUAGGUGUGAGGGUCUUUUCACGACUUUCGUGCCGUAGCUAACGCAUUAAGCGCCCCGCCUGGGGAGUACGGCCGCAAGGCUAAAACUCAAAGGAAUUGACGGGGGCCCGCACAAGCGGCGGAGCAUGUGGAUUAAUUCGAUGCAACGCGAAGAACCUUACCUGGGCUUGACAUACACUGGAUCGCGGCAGAGAUGUUGUUUCCCUUUGUGGCUGGUGUACAGGUGGUGCAUGGUUGUCGUCAGCUCGUGUCGUGAGAUGUUGGGUUAAGUCCCGCAACGAGCGCAACCCUUGUCUUAUGUUGCCAGCAUUUGGUUGGGGACUCAUGAGAGACUGCCGGGGUCAACUCGGAGGAAGGUGGGGAUGACGUCAAAUCAUCAUGCCCCUUAUGUCCAGGGCUUCACACAUGCUACAAUGGUCGGUACAACGCGCAGCGACACUGUGAGGUGGAGCGAAUCGCUGAAAGCCGGCCUUAGUUCGGAUUGGGGUCUGCAACUCGACCCCAUGAAGUCGGAGUCGCUAGUAAUCGCAGAUCAGCAAUGCUGCGGUGAAUACGUUCCCGGGCCUUGUACACACCGCCCGUCACGUCAUGAAAGUUGGUAACACCCGAAGCCGGUGGCCCAAACUUGUUAGGGAGCCGUCGAAGG